AACGAACGCUGGCGGCAGGCUUAACACAUGCAAGUCGAGCGCCCCGCAAGGGGUGCGGCAGACGGGUGAGUAACGCGUGGGAAUCUACCCAUCUCUACGGAAUAACGCAUGGAAACGUGUGCUAAUACAGUAUACGUCCUUCGGGAGAAAGACUUAUCGGAGAUGGAUGGGCCCGCGUUGGAUUAGCUAGUUGGUGGGGUAAAGGCCUACCAAGGCGACGAUCCAUAGCUGGUCUGAGAGGAUGAUCAGCCACACUGGGACUGAGACACGGCCCAGACUCCUACGGGAGGCAGCAGUGGGAAAUAUUGGACAAUGGGCGCAAGCAUGAUCCAGCCAUGCCGCGUGAGUGAUGAAGGCCCUAGGAUUGUAAAGCUCUUUCACCGGUGAAGUUAAUGACGGUAACCGGAGAAGAAGCCCCGGCUAACUUCGUGCCAGCAGCCGCAGUAAAAC
rnacentral:rRNA from 1 species